UGGACAAUAGCAUAGUUGGUUUGCGCACCUGUGUCACACAUGUACAUCCACAUUGGCAGAAGGUCCCCAGUUCGAAUCUGGGUUGUUCAC